rnacentral:lncRNA from 1 species
UUGCAAUGGCUUCUAGUGGGUAUAGAGGAGUCCUUCUCCACUUAAAAUUGCUUCAAGUUGGAUAAGGAUCCAAUUCAAAUUGACCUAAUCCCAUUUGAUCAAAGCCAACUGGUCUAAGUUAGCUUAAACAAUUUGAUCUAAACCAAUUUGGGAACUUUGGUUAAUACAAUGUGCUAGCAUAUCAAAUUAACCCAUAGAAUUUAUAUUAAACUCUAAUUAGAUCAAACCAAAGCUAAAUACCAAAGUGUGUGACCCAUUGAGCUCCAAAUCUAGCCAACAAGGAACCAGACUUUUGACGUAAUCCUAAUCCGAUGAGAUUAGGUCACCCUA